rnacentral:rRNA from 1 species
UACAGAGGUCUCAAGCGUUGUUCGGAUUCAUUGGGCGUAAAGGGUGCGUAGGUGGUGACGCAAGUCUGGUGUGAAAUCUCGGAGCUCAACUCCGAAAUUGCACCGGAUACUGCGUGACUCGAGGACUGUAGAGGAGAUCGGAAUUCACGGUGUAGCAGUGAAAUGCGUAGAUAUCGUGAGGAAGACCAGUUGCGAAGGCGGAUCUCUGGGCAGUUCCUGACACUGAGGCACGAAGGCCAGGGGAGCAAACGGGAUUAGAAACCCCCGUAGUCC